GAUGAACGCUGGCGGCGUGCUUAACACAUGCAAGUCGAACGGAAAGGCCAGUGCUUGCACUGGUACUCGAGUGGCGAACGGGUGAGUAACACGUGGGUGAUCUGCCCUGCACUUCGGGAUAAGCCUGGGAAACUGGGUCUAAUACCGGAUAGGACAAUGGUUUGGAUGCCGUUGUGGAAAGUUUUUUCGGUGUGGGAUGAGCUCGCGGCCUAUCAGCUUGUUGGUGGGGUAAUGGCCUACCAAGGCGUCGACGGGUAGCCGGCCGGAGAGGGGGUACGGCCAUACUAGAAUGGAGAGACGCACUAGACCCCUGAGAGAGGCCGCAGUGGGGAAGGAGGGAGAAUGGGCGAAUAUCGGACACUGCGAGCACGCGUGAGGGAGGAAGGCCGCGUGGGGGUAGACGGCCUUUGUGUGGUAAGAACAUCUGGCUAUGGACGAAGCGUAGUUGUGACGGUACCUGGAGAAGAAGCACCGGCUAACUACGUG
rnacentral:rRNA from 1 species